rnacentral:rRNA from 1 species
AAAUAAUGGGGGAGGAACCUCGAUGCAGCAACGCCGCGUGAGUGAUGAAGGCCUUCGGGUCGUAAAGCUCUUUGAUCAGGGACGAUAAUGACGGUACCUGAAAAACAAGCCACGGCUAACUACGUGCCAGCAGCCGCGGUAAUACGUAGGUGGCGAGCGUUGUCCGGAUUUACUGGGCGUAAAGAAUGCGUAGGUGGAUAUUUAAGUGGGAUGUGAAAUCCCCGGGCUCAACCCGGGAACUGCAUACCAAACUGGAUAUCUGGAGUGCAGGAGAGGAAAGCGGAAUUCCUAGUGUAGCGGUGAAAUGCGUAGAUAUUAGGAGGAACACCAGUGGCGAAGGCGGCUUUCUGGACUGUAACUGACACUGAGGCAUGAAAGCGUGGGGAGCAAACAGGAUUAGAUACCCUGGUAGUCCACGCCGUAAACUAUGGGUACUAGGUGUAGGGGGUAUCGACUCCCCCUGUGCCGCCGUUAACACAAUAAGUACCCCGCCUGGGGAGUACGGUCGCAAGACUA